rnacentral:rRNA from 1 species
GAUGAACGCUGGCGGCGGGCCUAAUACAUGCAAGUCGAGCGAACAGACGAUGAGCUUUCGCCUCUGACGGUAGCGGCGGACGGAUGAGUAACACGUGGAUAACCUACCUAUAUUACUGGGAUAACUUCGGGAAACCGGAUCUGAUAACGGAUAAUAUAUUGAACGGCAUGGUUCAAUAGUUAAAGACGGUUUUGCCGUCACUUAUAGAUGGAUCCGCGCCGCAUUAGCUAGUUGGUAAGGUAACGGCUUACCAAGGCGACGAUGCGUAGCCGAUCUGAGAGGGUGAUCGGCCACACUGGAACUGAGACACGGUCCAGACUCCUACGGGAGGCAGCAGUAGGGAAUCUUGCACAAUGGGCGCAAGCCUGAUGGAGCCACACCGCGUGAGUGAAGAAGGCCUUCGGGUUGUAAAACUCUGUUAUUAGGGAAGAAAAACUGCGUAAGUAACUAUGCACGUUUUGACGGUACCCAAACAGAAAGCAACGGCUAACUUCGUG